rnacentral:rRNA from 1 species
UGCAGUCGAGCGAUCGAUGGGAGCUUGCUCCCUGAGAUUAGCGGCGGACGGGUGAGUAACACGUGGGCAACCUGCCUAUAAGACUGGGAUAACUUCGGGAAACCGGAGCUAAUACCGGAUACGUUCUUUUCUCGCAUGAGAGAAGAUGGAAAGACGGUUUACGCUGUCACUUAUAGAUGGGCCCGCGGCGCAUUAGCUAGUUGGUGAGGUAAUGGCUCACCAAGGCGACGAUGCGUAGCCGACCUGAGAGGGUGAUCGGCCACACUGGGACUGAGACACGGCCCAGACUCCUACGGGAGGCAGCAGUAGGGAAUCUUCCGCAAUGGACGAAAGUCUGACGGAGCAACGCCGCGUGAACGAAGAAGGCCUUCGGGUCGUAAAGUUCUGUUGUUAGGGAAGAACAAGUACCAGAGUAACUGCUGGUACCUUGACGGUACCUAACCAGAAAGCCACGGCUAACUACGUGCCAGCAGCCGCGGUAAUACGUAGGUGGCAAGCGUUGUCCGGAAUUAUUGGGCGUAAAGCGCGCGCAGGUGGUUCCUUAAGUCUGAUGUGAAAGCCCACGGCUCAACCGUGGAGGGUCAUUGGAAACUGGGGAACUUGAGUGCAGAAGAGGAAAGUGGAAUUCCAAGUGUAGCGGUGAAAUGCGUAGAGAUUUGGAGGAACACCAGUGGCGAAGGCGACUUUCUGGUCUGUAACUGACACUGAGGCGCGAAAGCGUGGGGAGCAAACAGGAUUAGAUACCCUGGUAGUCCACGCCGUAAACGAUGAGUGCUAAGUGUUAGAGGGUUUCCGCCCUUUAGUGCUGCAGCUAACGCAUUAAAGCACUCCGCCUGGGGAGUACGGCCGCAAGGCUGAAACUCAAGGGAAUUGACGGGGGCCCGCACAAGCGGUGGGAGCAUGGUGGUUUAAUUCGAAGCAACGCGAAGAACCUUACCAGGUCUUGACAUCCUCUGACAACCCUAGAGAUAGGGCUUUCCCCUUCGGGGGACAGAGUGACAGGUGGUGCAUGGUUGUCGUCAGCUCGUGUCGUGAGAUGUUGGGUUAAGUCCCGCAACGAGCGCAACCCUUGAUCUUAGUUGCCAGCAUUCAGUUGGGCACUCUAAGGUGACUGCCGGUGACAAACCGGAGGAAGGUGGGGAUGACGUCAAAUCAUCAUGCCCCUUAUGACCUGGGCUACACACGUGCUACAAUGGAUGGUACAAAGGGCUGCAAACCUGCGAAGGUAAGCGAAUCCCAUAAAGCCAUUCUCAGUUCGGAUUGCAGGCUGCAACUCGCCUGCAUGAAGCCGGAAUCGCUAGUAAUCGCGGAUCAGCAUGCCGCGGUGAAUACGUUCCCGGGCCUUGUACACACCGCCCGUCACACCACGAGAGUUUGUAACACCCGAAGUCGGUGAGGUAACCUUCAUGGAGCCAGCCGCCUAAGGUGGGACAGAUGAUUGGG